rnacentral:rRNA from 1 species
AUUGAACGCUGGCGGCAUGCUUUACACAUGCAAGUCGGACGGCAGCACAGAGAAGCUUGCUUCUUGGGUGGCGAGUGGCGCACGGGUGAGUAAUAUAUCGGAACGUACCGAGUCAUUGGGGAUAACUAAUCGAAAGAUUAGCUAAUACCGCAUAUUCUCUGAGGAGGAAAGCAGGGGACCUUCGGGCCUUGCGUUAUUCGAGCGGCCGAUAUCUGAUUAGCUAGUUGGUGGGGUAAAGGCCUACCAAGGCGACGAUCAGUAGCGGGUCUGAGAGGAUGAUCCGCCACACGGGGACUGAGACACGGCCCAGACUCCUACGGGAGGCAGCAGUGGGGAAUUUUGGACAAUGGGCGCAAGCCUGAUCCAGCCAUGCCGCGUGUCUGAAGAAGGCCUUCGGGUUGUAAAGGACUUUUGUCAGGGAAGAAAAGGCUGUUGCUAAUAUCGACAGCUGAUGACGGUACCUGAAGAAUAAGCACCGGCUAACUACGUG